UACGUAGGGUGCGAGCGUUGUCCGGAAUCAUUGGGCGUAAAGGGCGCGUAGGUGGCCCAGUCAGCGUGCGGUGAAAGCUCGGGGCUCAACCCCGAGUCGGCCGUGCGAACUACUGGGCUGGAGCACUGUAGAGGCAGGCGGAAUUCCGGGUGUAGCGGUGGAAUGCGUAGAGAUCCGGAAGGAACACCAGUGGCGAAAGCGGCUUCCUGGUCCAGCACCGACGUUCAGGCACGAAAGCGUGGGGAGCAAACAGG
rnacentral:rRNA from 1 species